GACCCUACAUGUGUAGGAUAGGUGGGAGGCUUUGAAGCACGUACGCCAGUAUGUGUGGAGCCGUCCUUGAAAUACCACCCUUGUAGUGUUGAUGUUCUAACGUCGACCCCUAAUCGGGGUUGCGGACAGUGCCUGGUGGGUAGUUUGACUGGGGCGGUCUCCUCCCAAAGAGUAACGGAGGAGCACGAAGGUGGGCUAAUCACGGUUGGACAUCGUGAGGUUA
rnacentral:rRNA from 1 species